ACUCCUACGGGAGGCAGCAGUGGGGAAUAUUGGACAAUGGGGGCAACCCUGAUCCAGCCAUGCCGCGUGAGUGAUGAAGGCCCUAGGUUGUAAAGCUCUUUUGUGCGGGAAGAUAAUGACGGUACCGCAAGAAUAAGCCCGGCUAACUUCGUGCCAGCAGCCGCGGUAAUACGAAGGGGGCUAGCGUUGCUCGGAAUCACUGGGGCGUAAAGGGUGUGUAGGCGGGUUUUAAGUCAGGGGUGAAAUCCUGGAGCUCAACUCCAGAACUGCCUUUGAUACUGAAGAUCUUGAGUCCGGGAGAGGUGAGUGGAACUGCGAGUGUAGAGGUGGAAAUUCGUAGAUAUUCGCAAGAACACCAGUGGCGAAGGCGGCUCACUGGCCCGGUACUGACGCUGAGGCACGAAAGCGUGGGGGAGCAAACAGGAUUAGAUACCCUGGUAGGAUAGCG
rnacentral:rRNA from 1 species